GCUAAGAAAAGCAGAGACUACCCCUCGUACCUUUUGCAUCAUGAUUUAGCAAGUAAUAGUCAAGCAAAAAGCAUUUUAGUUUGGCCCCCCGAAACCAAGUGAGCUACUCCAAGACAACCUAUAACUAGGGUAAACCCGUCUCUGUGGCAAAAGAGUGGGAAGAGCUUUGAGUAGAGGUGACAGACCUAUCGAACUUGGUAAUAGCUGGUUGCUUGAGAAAUGAAUAGAAGUUCUGCUUCUUAUAUUCUUACCCCUCCUCGGUUACCAAGCCAUACCACAGGUUAAAGAAGAUAAGAAAGUUAAUCAAAGGGGGUACAGCCCCUUUGAGACAAGAUACAACUUUUCCAGUAGGGUAAAGAUCAUAAUCGACCAAGGUAUUUGUGUUUUGGUGGGCCUAAAAGCAGCCAUCCCAUUAGAAAGCGUUAAAGCUCCAACACAUGUUUUUCCCUUAAUCCUGAUAACUAAUCUUAACCCCCUAACCAUAUCAAGCCAUCCCAUAAAAACAUGGGAGUGAUUAUGCUAAAAUGAGUAAUCAGAGAACUACAAUUCUCUCCCUGCACAUGUGUAAAUCGGAACGGACCCCCCACCGAAACUUAACGGCCCCAAACAAAGAGGGUACUGAAUGACAAACAACAAACUAGAAAACUAUUCAGAAUUUCACCGUUAAUCCCACACUGGUGUGCUUUCUAGGAAAGACUAAAAGGAAAAGAAGGAACUCGGCAAAUACACCCAAGCCUCGCCUGUUUACCAAAAACAUCGCCUCUUGUAUAUUACACAUAAGAGGUCCCGCCUGCCCUGUGACCCCUGGUUCAACGGCCGCGGUAUUUUGACCGUGCAAAGGUAGCGCAAUCACUUGUCCCUUAAAUGAGGACCUGUAUGAAUGGCAUAACGAGGGCUUAACUGUCUCCUUUCCCCAGUCAAUGAAAUUGAUCUUCCCGUGCAGAAGCGGGAAUACCAACAUAAGACGAGAAGACCCUAUGGAGCUUUAGACGCUAGAACAGACCAUGUCAGCUACUCCCUAAAGCAAGUAGCAACUAUUGAAUCUCUGUUCCCCUGUCUUUGGUUGGGGCGACCGCGGGGAAGAAAAAAACCCCCAUGUGGACCAGGAGCACAUUACUCCCAAAGUCACGAGCCACAGCUCUAAUACGCAGAAUUUCUGACCAAUAAGAUCCGGCAAAGCCGAUCAACGGACCUAGUUACCCUAGGGAUAACAGCGCAAUCCCCUUUAAGAGUCCAUAUCGACAAGGGGGUUUACGACCUCGAUGUUGGAUCAAGACAUCCUAAUGGUGCAGCCGCUAUUAAGGGUUCGUUUGUUCAACGAUUAAAGUCUU
rnacentral:rRNA from 1 species